CCUGGCCAGGCAUAGUUCACCAUCUUUCGGGUCCCAACGUGUGGGCUCUAGGUCCGCGCCUCAGCAGUGCUCAGCAGUGAAGAGAGCAAGCCAGCCGAUGGCGCGGCCCGCGGAUGCGCCGCACGCCACAAGUGACGGUGGAUCUCCGCUCGUGCCGUCAGACGACACUUUACUUUCAUUGCGCGUUUGAGAUUAGACAAUCUCAAUCGCUCGCUCACAUGUUAGACUCCUUGGUCCGUGUUUCAAGACGGGCCGCACAUAACGACGCAAAGGCCGAGCCGAAACGUUAGACGNUUCGAAUUUGCGCUGGCCGUCGCCCGGUCGUUCGCCAUCGGCCGGCNUAUUGCAUCGUAGACCAGGCCGACCGUCGUCGCUACAGUAGAGCGCAUAGUCGACGGAGCACCGCGGCACGACCGUGAGGUCGCUGAUUGCCACAGCUCGACACGGCUCUGCGAAUUACCGGCCGGCAAUAAGNCCAUGGACAACGAAGCCUCGACCUGUCCAUGUCGACCAAAGGGAAGCGUUCUGCC
rnacentral:rRNA from 1 species